rnacentral:rRNA from 1 species
GAUGUACGCUGGCGGCGUGCCUAAUCCCUGCAAGUCGAGCGGUAACGCGGGAGCAAUCCUGGCGACCAGCGGCGAACGGGUGAGUAACGAUUCGGAAUCUACCCAGUAGUGGGGAAUAACCAACCGUAAGGUUGGCUAAUGCCGCAUACGACCUGAGGGUGUAAGGGGGGGAUCGCAAGACCGCUCGCUACUGGCUGAGCCGAAGUCGGAUUAGCUAGUUGGUAGGGUAACGGCCUACCAAGGCGACAAUCCGUAGCUGGUCUGAGAGGACGACCAGCCACACUGGGACUGGGACGCGGCCCAGACUCCUACGGGAGGCAGCAGUGGGGAAGAUUGGACAAUGGGGGCAACCCUGAUCCAGCGACGCCGCGUGUGUGAAGAAGGCCUGCGGGUUGUAAAGCACUUUUAGUGGGGAUGAAAAGCUCAGGGCUAAUACCCUUGAGUCUUGACCUAACCCAAAGAAAAAGCACCGGCUAACUCUGUGCCAGCAGCCGCCGUAA